rnacentral:rRNA from 1 species
AGCGAACGCUGGCGGCAGGCUUAACACAUGCAAGUCGAGCGGGCACUUUCGGGUGUCAGCGGCGGACGGGUGCGUAACGCGUGGGAACGUGCCCUCUGGUUCGGAAUAACUCAGGGAAACUUGAGCUAAUACCGGAUACGCCCUUUUGGGGAAAGGCUUGCUGCCGGAGGAUCGGCCCGCGUCUGAUUAGCUAGUUGGUGAGGUAACGGCUCACCAAGGCGACGAUCAGUAGCUGGUCUGAGAGGAUGAUCAGCCACACUGGGACUGAGACACGGCCCAGACUCCUACGGGAGGCAGCAGUGGGGAAUAGUGGACAAUGGGGGCAAGCCUGAUCCAGCCAUGCCGCGUGAGUGAUGAAGGCCUUAGGGUUGUAAAGCUCUUUUAUCCGGGACGAUAAUGACGGUACCGGAGGAAUAAGCCCCGGCUAACUUCGUG